rnacentral:rRNA from 1 species
CCUACGGGGUGCAGCAGUGAGGAAUAUUGGUCAAUGGGCGCGAGCCUGAACCAGCCAAGUCGCGUGAGGGAAGACGGUCCUAUGGAUUGUAAACCUCUUUUGUCGGGGAGCAAAAGACGCCACGCGUGGCGUUCCGAGAGUACCCGAAGAAAAAGCAUCGGCUAACUCCGUGCAAGCAGCCGCGGUAAUACGGAGGAUGCGAGCGUUAUCCGGAUUUAUUGGGUUUAAAGGGUGCGCAGGCGGAGGAUCAAGUCAGCGGUAAAAGUGAGAGGCUCAACCUCUUCGAGCCGUUUAAACUGGUUUUCUUGAGUGAGGUAGAAGUAUGCGGAAUGCGGGGUGUAGCGGUGAAAUGCAUAGAUAUCACGCAGAACUCCGAUUGCGAAGGCAGCAUACCGGCGCUCAACUGACGCUCAUGCACGAAAGUGUGGGUAUCGAACAGGAUUAGAUACCCGAGUAGUC